AAAUUGAAGAGUUUGAUCAUGGCUCAGAUUGAACGCUGGCGGCAGGCCUAACACAUGCAAGUCGAACGGUAACAGGAAACAGCUUGCUGUUUCGCUGACGA
rnacentral:rRNA from 1 species